rnacentral:rRNA from 1 species
GAUGAACGCUAGCUGCAGGCUUAACACAUGCAAGUCGAGCGACCGGCGCACGGGUGAGUAACACGUAUCCACCCUGCCCUUUACUCGGGGAUAGCCUUUCGAAAGAAAGAUUAAUACCCGAUAUUAAGGACGGGGAUGCGUUCCAUUAGGUUGUUGGUGAGGUAACGGCUCACCAAGCCUUCGAUGGUGAGGGGUUCGGAGAGGAAGGUCCCCCACAUUUGAACUGAGGUCCGGACCACACCGCGACGGGGGGCAGGAGUGUGGUGUAUUGGGCGAUGGACGCUGACCUAGACCAGCCAAGUGUCGGGAAGGGUGCAUGCUUUUUAGUGUUAAUCUUCUGGUGUAUAAGAAUCGGUAUUAGAUGAAUAAGGAGCGGCUAACUCCGUGCCAGCAGCCGCGGUAAUAC